UACAGAGGGUGCAAGCGUUGUUCGGAAUUAUUGGGCGUAAAGCGCGUGUAGGCGGCUUUGCAAGUCGGGUGUGAAAGCCCUCGCUAACCGAGGAAGUGCGCCCGAAACUGCAGAGCUUGAGUACCGGAGAGGAUGGCGGAAUUCCCCAAGUAGAGGUGAAAUUCGUAGAUAUGGGGAGGAACACCGGUGGCGAAGGCGGCCAUCUGGACGGAUACUGACGCUGAGACGCGAAAGCGUGGGGAGCAACAGG
rnacentral:rRNA from 1 species